rnacentral:rRNA from 1 species
CCUACGGGUGGCAGCAGUGAGGAAUAUUGGUCAAUGGACGCGAGUCUGAACCAGCCAAGUAGCGUGCAGGAUGACUGCCCUAUGGGUUGUAAACUUCUUUUAUAUGGGAAUAAAAUGUUCCACGUGUGUGUUUCUGUAUGUACCAUAUGAAUAAGGAUCGGCUAACUCCGUGCCAGCAGCCGCGGUAAUACGGAGGAUCCGAGCGUUAUCCGGAUUUAUUGGGUUUAAAGGGUGCGUAGGUGGAUUGUUAAGUCAGUGGUGAAAUUUUGCGGCUCAACCGUAGAAUUGCAGUUGAAACUGGCAGUCUAGAGAACAGUAGAGGUAGGCGGAAUGCAUGGUGUAGCGGUGAAAUGCUUAGAGAUCACACAGAACUCCGAUUGCGAAGGCAGCUCACUGGACUGCAACUGACACUGAGGCACGAAAGUGUGGGUAUCAAACAGGAUUAGAUACCCGUGUAGUC